rnacentral:rRNA from 1 species
UAAGGAAUAUUGGUCAAUGGACGCAAGUCUGAACCAGCCAUGCCGCGUGGAGGAUGAAGGCCCUCUGGGUUGUAAACUUCUUUUAUUGGGGAAGAAACCGGACUUUUCUAAGGCCGUUGACGGUACCCAUUGAAUAAGCACCGGCUAACUCCGUGCCAGCAGCCGCGGUAAUACGGAGGGUGCAAGCGUUAUCCGGAUUCACUGGGUUUAAAGGGUGCGUAGGUGGGUAGGUAAGUCAGUGGUGAAAUCUCCAAGCUUAACUUGGAAACUGCCGUUGAUACUAUUUAUCUUGAAUAUAGUGGAGGUGAGCGGAAUAUGUCAUGUAGCGGUGAAAUGCUUAGAUAUGACAUAGAACAUCGAUUGCGAAGGCAGCUCGCUACACUAUUAUUGACACUGAGGCACGAAAGCGUGGGGAUCAAACAGGAUUAGAUACCCCUGUAGUCC